CUGCAACUCACACACACUCACAGAACACUAUUGUCCUGUCCUGCACAAAGAGUCCUGUAAGCAUGAACACACACACACACACACACACACAGAUAAGAGAGUCCCAGCACUGCCUCCCGUUCCUGUACCAGAGAAGCCUGGUGCAGUGUGUUUAUUUCUUUACAUGCCUUGUGGGAAGGACAGGUGAAGAUCCAGGAUGGAGGUACAAAAAUAACAAUGCAGGAAUCAACCUAUAAUCAGAUAUUAAACUCAAUCUACAGAGACAACAACCUCUAAUCUGAAACUAAACUCAAUCUACAGCGACUACAACCUCUAAUCGGAAACUAAACUCAAUCUACAGCGACUACAACCUCUAAUCGGAAACUAAACUCAAUCUACAGCGACUACAACCUCUAAUCGGAAACUAAACUCAAUCUACAGCGACUACAACCUCUAAUCGGAAACUAAACUCAAUCUACAGCGACUACAACCUCUAAUCGGAAACUAAACUCAAUCUACAGCGACUACAACCUCUAAUCGGAAACUAAACUCAAUCUACAGCGACUACAACCUCUAAUCGGAAACUAAACUCAAUCUACAGCGACUACAACCUCUAAUCGGAAACUAAACUCAAUCUACAGCGACUACAACCUCUAAUCGGAAACUAAACUCAAUCUACAGCGACUACAACCUCUAAUCGGAAACUAAACUCAAUCUACAGCGACUACAACCUCUAAUCGGAAACUAAACUCAAUCUACAGCGACUACAACCUCUAAUCGGAAACUAAACUCAAUCUACAGCGACUACAACCUCUAAUCGGAAACUAAACUCAAUCUACAGCGACUACAACCUCUAAUCGGAAACUAAACUCAAUCUACAGCGACUACAACCUCUAAUCGGAAACUAAACUCAAUCUACAGCGACUACAACCUCUAAUCGGAAACUAAACUCAAUCUACAGCGACUACAACCUCUAAUCGGAAACUAAACUCAAUCUACAGCGACUACAACCUCUAAUCGGAAACUAAACUCAAUCUACAGCGACUACAACCUCUAAUCGGAAACUAAACUCAAUCUACAGCGACUACAACCUCUAAUCGGAAACUAAACUCAAUCUACAGCGACUACAACCUCUAAUCGGAAACUAAACUCAAUCUACAGCGACUACAACCUCUAAUCGGAAACUAAACUCAAUCUACAGCGACUACAACCUCUAAUCGGAAACUAAACUCAAUCUACAGCGACUACAACCUCUAAUCGGAAACUAAACUCAAUCUACAGCGACUACAACCUCUAAUCGGAAACUAAACUCAAUCUACAGCGACUACAACCUCUAAUCGGAAACUAAACUCAAUCUACAGCGACUACAACCUCUAAUCGGAAACUAAACUCAAUCUACAGCGACUACAACCUCUAAUCGGAAACUAAACUCAAUCUACAGCGACUACAACCUCUAAUCGGAAACUAAACUCAAUCUACAGCGACUACAACCUCUAAUCGGAAACUAAACUCAAUCUACAGCGACUACAACCUCUAAUCGGAAACUAAACUCAAUCUACAGCGACUACAACCUCUAAUCGGAAACUAAACUCAAUCUACAGCGACUACAACCUCUAAUCGGAAACUAAACUCAAUCUACAGCGACUACAACCUCUAAUCGGAAACUAAACUCAAUCUACAGCGACUACAACCUCUAAUCGGAAACUAAACUCAAUCUACAGCGACUACAACCUCUAAUCGGAAACUAAACUCAAUCUACAGCGACUACAACCUCUAAUCGGAAACUAAACUCAAUCUACAGCGACUACAACCUCUAAUCGGAAACUAAACUCAAUCUACAGCGACUACAACCUCUAAUCGGAAACUAAACUCAAUCUACAGCGACUACAACCUCUAAUCGGAAACUAAACUCAAUCUACAGCGACUACAACCUCUAAUCGGAAACUAAACUCAAUCUACAGCGACUACAACCUCUAAUCGGAAACUAAACUCAAUCUACAGCGACUACAACCUCUAAUCGGAAACUAAACUCAAUCUACAGCGACUACAACCUCUAAUCGGAAACUAAACUCAAUCUACAGCGACUACAACCUCUAAUCGGAAACUAAACUCAAUCUACAGCGACUACAACCUCUAAUCGGAAACUAAACUCAAUCUACAGCGACUACAACCUCUAAUCGGAAACUAAACUCAAUCUACAGCGACUACAACCUCUAAUCGGAAACUAAACUCAAUCUACAGCGACUACAACCUCUAAUCGGAAACUAAACUCAAUCUACAGCGACUACAACCUCUAAUCGGAAACUAAACUCAAUCUACAGCGACUACAACCUCUAAUCGGAAACUAAACUCAAUCUACAGCGACUACAACCUCUAAUCGGAAACUAAACUCAAUCUACAGCGACUACAACCUCUAAUCGGAAACUAAACUCAAUCUACAGCGACUACAACCUCUAAUCGGAAACUAAACUCAAUCUACAGCGACUACAACCUCUAAUCGGAAACUAAACUCAAUCUACAGCGACUACAACCUCUAAUCGGAAACUAAACUCAAUCUACAGCGACUACAACCUCUAAUCGGAAACUAAACUCAAUCUACAGCGACUACAACCUCUAAUCGGAAACUAAACUCAAUCUACAGCGACUACAACCUCUAAUCGGAAACUAAACUCAAUCUACAGCGACUACAACCUCUAAUCGGAAACUAAACUCAAUCUACAGCGACUACAACCUCUAAUCGGAAACUAAACUCAAUCUACAGCGACUACAACCUCUAAUCGGAAACUAAACUCAAUCUACAGCGACUACAACCUCUAAUCGGAAACUAAACUCAAUCUACAGCGACUACAACCUCUAAUCGGAAACUAAACUCAAUCUACAGCGACUACAACCUCUAAUCGGAAACUAAACUCAAUCUACAGCGACUACAACCUCUAAUCGGAAACUAAACUCAAUCUACAGCGACUACAACCUCUAAUCGGAAACUAAACUCAAUCUACAGCGACUACAACCUCUAAUCGGAAACUAAACUCAAUCUACAGCGACUACAACCUCUAAUCGGAAACUAAACUCAAUCUACAGCGACUACAACCUCUAAUCGGAAACUAAACUCAAUCUACAGCGACUACAACCUCUGAUCUGAAAUAAUAAACUUAAGCUACAGCAAUUACACCUGAGAAUUCAGUUCUGAGUUUUGCUUUGGCACACACUGCACUAUCUAUGUGACGC
ensembl:lncRNA